rnacentral:lncRNA from 1 species
CUCAGCUGAUGAAGACACCAAGUUGUAAAUGACUACUGUAUUAAACAACCCUUUGCAAUGGCUGCUUGAGUCAAGCUGAAUAAAAUUUUUGACUUCUCAAAAAAGGACAAGAUUUUGAGGAGAUGAGACUGAACACUACUGUGACUGUAAGUACCAUUACCAUUGAAACCGGAGCAGCCAAAUCCUUAGGUCCAGAACUACUCAAGCAAAUCUGGGAUCUCGACUCUUGAAAACAUCUGCCUAUUAAAGAGAAGGUAAAGGAGUUCAAGCAGAAAAAUAGCUGCUACUUCUUAUUUGUUU